rnacentral:rRNA from 1 species
GUGACGAAGCGACGCCGCGUGUGGGAAGAAGGCCUUCGGGUUGUAAACCACUGUCAGGAGUUAAGAAGUGUAGUGGAGCGAAUAGCGCCACUACUUAACUAAGGCUCCAGAGGAAGCCACGGCUAACUCUGUGCCAGCAGCCGCGGUUAUACAGAGGUGGCAAGCGUUGUUCGGAAUUAUUGGGCGUAAAGAGCACGUAGGCGGUUCUGCAAGUCGGCUGUGAAAGCCUUCCGCUCAACGGAAGAACAGCAGUUGAUACUACAGGACUAGAGUGCGGGAGGGGAGAGUGGAACUUCUGGUGGAGCGGUGAAAUGCGUAGAUAUCAGAAGGAACGCCGGCGGCGAAAGCGACUCUCUGGCCCGUAACUGACGCUGAGUGUGCGAAAGCUAGGGGAGCAAACGGGAUUAGAUACCCCGGUAGUCCUAGCCGUAAACGAU